CACACACACACACACACACACACACACACACACACAGUAUAAGGAGGUUUAAUAUGUACGAGUGUGUAUGAGUUUGGGAAUGAGGGAGUGAGAGAAAAAGAGAGAGAGAAAGAAAGAAAGAUAUGAGGUGAAAACUGCGACUUGCUGUAAACCAAAUCUACUGUAUAUUGUUGUCUCUGUACACACACACUGUACAUCCAGACACGCACACACACACAAACACACACAUUUCUCAGCUGAUACCACUCUUCCACAUCCAUACCAACACACCUACAUCAUAUUAGUUGCAUGCAUGUAUUCCAAUGGCUGUCAGGGCCCCAUUAUACAACAGGCAAA